AUUGAACGCUGGCGGCAGGCCUAACACAUGCAAGUCGAGCGGAGCGGCGGACGGGUGGGUAAUGCCUAGGAAUCUGCCUGGUAGUGGGGGAAAACGUCGGGAAAGGGGCGUUAUUACGGAAUACUAUAAGAUAGCCCUAGGUUGGAUUAGCUAGUUGGUGGGGUAAAGGCCUACCAAGGCGACGAUCCGUAACUGGUCUGAGAGGAUGAUCAGUCACACUGGAACUGAGACACGGUCCAGACUCCUACGGGAGGCAGCAGUGGGGAAUAUUGGACAAUGGGCGAAAGCCUGAUCCAGCCAUGCCGCGUGUGUGAAGAAGGUCUUCGGAUUGUAAAGCACUUUAAGUUGGGAGGCGUUACCAACAGAAUAAGCACCGGCUAACUUCGUGCCAGCAGCCGCGGUAAUAC
rnacentral:rRNA from 1 species